AUUGAACGCUGGCGGCAGGCCUAACACAUGCAAGUCGAACGAGUGGCGGACGGGUGAGUAAUGUCUGGGAAACUGCCUGGUGGAGGGGGAUAACUACUGGAAACGGUCGCUAAUACCGCAUACCAUCAGAUGUGCCCAGAUGGGAUGAGCUUGUUGGUGGGGUAACGGCUCACCAAGGCGUCGAUCCCUAGCUGGUCUGAGAGGAUGACCAGCCACACGGGAACUAGGAAACGGUCCAGACUCCUCCGGGAGGCAGAAGUGGGGAGUAUUGCCCAAUGGGCGAAAGCCUGAUGCAGCCAUGCCGCGUGUAUGAAGAGGGCCUUCGGGUUGUAAAGUACUUUCAGCGGGGAGGCGUUACCCGCAGAAGAAGCACCGGCUAACUCCGUGCCAGCAGCCGCGGUAAUUC
rnacentral:rRNA from 1 species